rnacentral:snRNA from 1 species
GGAUGUGGGGGGGAUCUGGCUGCAACAUCUGUCACCCCAUUGAUCGCCAGGGUUGAUUCGACUGAUCCGGCUGGCUAGGCAGGUGUCCCCUUCCUCCCUCAAUGAUCCAUAUGCAUCCCUCCCGAAGCUGCGUGCUUGGUCAAAGAGGACGACCACCCCCGAUGGAGGAGGACUGUUCCUUGGUCAAGGGUAUACGAGUAGCUGCGCUCCUUGCUAGAACCUCCAAACAAGCUCUCGAGCUGGAGGAGCAUCUUGGUCUUGGAGAAGUCAAACUGGAUGCACGUGGCCUAUGAU